rnacentral:rRNA from 1 species
UACGGAGGGGGCUAGCGUUGUUCGGAAUUACUGGGCGUAAAGCGCGCGUAGGCGGACCUGCAAGUCGGGGGUGAAAGCCCGAGGCUCAACCUCGGAACUGCCUUCGAUACUGCGGGUCUCGAGUCCGGGAGAGGUGAGUGGAAUUCCUAGUGUAGAGGUGAAAUGCGCAGAUAUCAGGAGGAACACCGAUGGCGAAGGCAGGUCUCUGGGCAUUAACUGACGCUGAGGAGCGAAAGCAUGGGGAGCGAACAGG